UACGAGGGGCCCAAACGUUAUUCGGAAUUACUGGGCUUAAAGAGUUCGUAGGCGGCGCAGAAAGUAGGGUGUGAAAGCCCUCGGCUCAACCGAGGAAUUGCGCUCUAAACUACUGUGCUUGAGGAAUCUAGAGGUGAGCGGAACUGAUGAUGGAGCGGUGAAAUGCGUUGAUAUCAUCAGGAACACCGGAGGCGAAGGCGGCUCACUGGGGAUUUUCUGACGCUGAGGAACGAAAGCCAGGGGAGCGAACGGG
rnacentral:rRNA from 1 species